rnacentral:tRNA from 1 species
GCCCCUGUCAGCUAGUCCGGUCAGGCUGCAACGUUCUCAGCGUUGUCACGCGGGUUCAAACCCGCCGGGGGCGCCA